rnacentral:ncRNA from 1 species
GGUUGCGCUUGACGCGCAUUAAUAGGGAACGCGGUGCAAAUCCGCGGCAGCCCCCGCUACUGUAAGAAGGACGAACGCUUUUUCGGGAAUAUCCCGCGUCACUGGAUGCCGUGUUCCGCAUCCGGGAAGGCGAAGCCAGUAGGAGGAUUUCAAGCCAGGAGACCUGCCGCCCGU